AUGUGGGAGUCAGCACUUACUUUAAAAUGAGCUACAAAUCUAAAAAGGAUGAAGUUUUGAAAUCGGAUCUAGAUUAGUAGUGGGGAAGAUUCUAGGAUUCUAGAAGAAGCAUGGUGUAAAGGUGAAGGCUAGGGUUCAUGCAGGAAUAUUGGUAGGGUCUCUCCGAUACUUGUUAAUUUCGCUCUAUUUUCUAUAUUUUGAUUUUGGAGAGA
rnacentral:lncRNA from 1 species